AUCUCUUUCCUUGACCACUAACUGAUCGAUUGCUCAAUGUUCUGUCUUGUUUUGGUUUCUCUUUUCAUUUGUAGAAUUUUAGCUUCCAUUCGAGGUUCAUCAUCAUGUGGUUAGAGGCGAUUUAACUUUGGAUAAAAUGGCUAUAAUAUUUCUCUUCAUUUUCAGGUCUGGCAUUUUGAGCUUUACUUCGUUUAGGUUGUCUUCGCAAUCUUGGAAAAAUUGGAAAUCACUGAUAGUUAUCAUGGAAAGAAGAUAUGGCACAGCCAAGUCGCUCCAGGUUCCUUCGGCAAACUAAAAGAAUUGAGAAUUGCAUUUUGUGGAGCUGUAGAGACUGUUUUUCCAUGUGGAGUCUGGAGCAAUUUCAAAAGAUUAGAGGUUUUGUCUGUGCAGUAUUGUGAUUCCUUACAAGAGAUAUAUCAAGUCCAAGAAGAGAUCAAUGUUGAAGAAACAAAUGUUGUAGCUGUUUUUGAGUUCACAGAAUUGCAUAUUCAAGGAUUGCACAACUUGAAGCAUAUAUGGAAUAAGGAUCCACAACAAGGUGUCGCCUUUCCCCAUUUGCGAUCAGUAAAGGUUUCAAAUUGUAAGGUCCUGAAAGAUCUCUUUUCAGCCUCCAUAGGCAAGGGUCCUUUGCAACUCGAAGACAUAAAUAUAAAAAAUUGUUGUAUGAUGGAAGAGAUCAUCAAAUCGGAAGUAGCAGGGGAAGCAAUAUCCAAUCUGAUCAGCUUCCCUUCGUUGAUCUCCAUAGAUCUGCUAAAGUUGCCUACCUUGUCAAAGUUUUUAUUCAGGAAGCUAUAAUUUGGAAUGUCCAUUUUGAAAAGGAUCAAGAUCGUUCAUUGUCCAAAAAUUAAUUCAUCCAAUGCACGUAUAUUUGGUCAUAAGGUUAGUAUGCUUUGUUGAAAAGUUAUUUUAUUUCCUGAAUUUGAUUUUGCCCACUUCUUUUCUUCUAUGUCAUUCUCACCAUUCACAAAAUUUACGAUGAACCACGUUAAAUUUUACAUUUUUUAUUUUGUGUGGGUGUGAUUUUUUCUCAACAAUAUUGUUUGCUAAAUUUUAGUCCUCGUGUGUAAACACAAUAUAGUAGUGGAAAGUGAAGCUUAUGUCAGUCAGAAUAAGUACGAGGACUGGUCUGUGAAUCUCAUCAAUGUCAAACAACAGGAGAUACUGCAAUAAAUGAAAGGCAAAUCUGUGAGUGAUGCUAAUGCUGUCAAUUUUUCUGUUUUACAGAUUCCUGUAGGUAAUAUUUCUUCCUUUCCUGCUGUACCUGUUGUUUCUUCGCUUAUUUUUUAUCAUUUAUACCUUGCAUUUUAAGUUAAUUUGUCAUCUCAAUCUGAACCAACAUCUUAUCAUGAAGCUAAAACUCUUCCUAAUUGGGUUGAGGCUAUGCAAAAGGAUUGACAACAUUGGCAUAGUAGCUUACUUAACUUCCUCCAAAAAAGAAACGUAUUGCAUCUAAAUGGGUUUUCAAAAAAAAAUAUAAUCCUAAUGGAACUAUUGAGAGAUAUGAGGCUAGGUUGGUAGUAAAGGGUUAAAAUCAAUUGGUUGGCAUUGACUACAUAGAUAUUUUUGCACCUGUGGCUAAGCUUGUUUUCGCAAGUUUUUAGCUAUACCUACUACACAGUCAUGGUCCAUUCAUCAAUUAGACAUUAGCAAGACAUUCCUUCAUGGGUAUAUUGAUGAAGAUUUAUAUACGUUGCCUCCUGAAGGAUAUUAUAAAUCACAACAAGGGCAGAUUUGCAUGCUCACUAAGUCCUUGUAUGGACUUAAUCAAGCAAGUAGGCAAAGGAAUAGGGAGUUUACUAAGAAUUUGCUGAAUUUUAGUUUUACUCAAUCCUCAUCUGAUCAUUGUUUGUUUGUGAAGUGGUCUGCUGAUAGUUUCAUUACUUUGUUGGUAUAUAUUGAUAAUGUUUUGAUUACAGGGGUCAAUGAAAAAGAUACAAUUGCCACUAAGUAAUUUUUGUCUUUCUUCUCACCAGCAACCUGCAGAAUUGUUGAACAAGUACUUGUCUUCAGUUUCAUUUUAUUUUCUCUUGGCCAAGAUGGGACUUGUGGAGUUAUCCUUGUCUCCAUCUUGAGGGGGGUGUAAUCAUAUUUAUUAGUCAGCUUAAAGUGAUCUAGUUACUCUGUAAGUUGGGGUUGUUCUGUUUCUGUUAGUUACUAACAGCUGCAGCUCAGCAUGUAGGGAUUAGUUUUUUUACUUUCAUUCAUGUAUAAAUACUUAAUAUAUUAAUCAAAUUAUAUGACUACUGAAGAUUAUUCUUCAA